UAAUUUUUUUUAAAAAUUAGGAUCAAUUCAACAAUAAUUUUACAAAAACAAUCUUCAACACAAAUAAAUUGGACAUAGUUGUCAUGCAUUAUUAUUGGAUUAGUCUUAAAUUUUUUAAAAAUUUAGCUGUCAUGGAUAUAUUUGAUAUAAAUAAAAAUUUCAAAGAUAAAAUUAAAAUAAAAUAAAAUUUAUAGAUAUUUUUAAAAUUUUUGACAAAUUUCAUGAAUAAAAAUAUAUAUUUUACGCAAAGAAAAAAAAAUCGGAGUUCGGACUGCCUGUUUCAGUAUUUAUUUACAGAAGGUGUCUGAGGGUGGAUACCAAAGAAGAGAGAGUUUAACAACAGGAAAGCCAUGUUUGGCCGAAUACCAUAGUUGUGACUUAAAACUAAAUAUUAUGUGCAAGUGGUUCUGCUGAGGAUGUGCGUGUGCUAUAGCUGAUGAAGCAUGGUUGCAAAAUAUUUGCUCCUUUUUUAAUUUUUUGAAUUUAUAUUUUCUAAGGAGUGAAUCAUUGUUUAUAAUUUAUAUACAUCCCUUAUUAAUUUAUGGCCAAAAUAGCUUAUAUGACUAGGCAAAAGAUCAACCCGAAUCAGGGCACGUGAUCUGUGUUAAUAAUGGAUAUGCAUUAAGUCAACAAUUUAAUGUUUGUUUCAUGAA